GGCCCUUUUCCCAUCAGGUUGUUGGGGGUCCUUCUGCUCCUGAGCUGGGCUGAAGGCCAAGAUAAGCCCUCGGAGAUUCAUGCUAAUAUUACGGUGACCCCGAAGCCUUGUUUCCUGCCCAGGAAUGG